rnacentral:rRNA from 1 species
GCCUAUGGCCAUACCCCCCUGAACGUGCCCGACCCGUCUGAUCUCGGAAGCUAAGCAGGGUCGGGCCUGCUUAGUACUUGGAAGGGAGACACGCAGUCAUCUACU